rnacentral:rRNA from 1 species
GGGGGAGGCAUGUGCACGCUUGUCAUCUUUAUUUCUCCAACUGUGCACAUAUUGUAGACCUGGAGUCGUCUUUGUUGAUUCAUUUCGAGUUGGCACUGCAGCGCUCACAAACCUGCUUUGCCUUUUUGCAUUCCCAGGUCUAUGUCAUUUUCACAACCUCAAUUGUGUUUAGAAUGUUGAAUCAGGUUUUGAUACCUAUAAAGUUAAAUAUACAACUUUCAGCAACGGAUCUCUUGGCUCUCGCAUCGAUGAAGAACGCAGCGAAAUGCGAUAAGUAAUGUGAAUUGCAGAAUUCAGUGAAUCAUCGAAUCUUUGAACGCAUCUUGCGCUCCUUGGUAUUCCGAGGAGCAUGCCUGUUUGAGUGUCAUUUCUAGUUCUCAACUGCGUCGAUUUCUUAUUGAUGUGGCUUGGAUGUGGGGGAUUUAGCAGGCUUUCUGUCAAAGGAGGUCGGCUCCCCUGAAAAAUAUUAGUGGUAUCUGAGCUUACUACAGGUGUGAUAAUUAUCUAUGCCUUCAGUAUGCUAUUGCACUGCUUCCAACGAGUGAGAGAGAGGUUCUCUCUCACAUUUGACGAAUUUGACCUCA